rnacentral:lncRNA from 1 species
GACUUCCCACAUCCCGUAAACGCGGACAUAGUUAAAAAAUACUACGCAUAAAAGAGACCCGCUAGAUCGACGUAUCUAGGCAAAAGUAAGGGCAUCCCGGCGAACCAAAAGGGUUCGGGCAAAAAUUAGGGAUAUAUAAAAAAAAAUGUACACCCGGCAAGUCGAAAACCUGAAAAGGCGGCUUGGGCAAAAAAGGGUAUCCUGGUGGACUGAAAACCUGAAAAGGCGGUCCAGGCAAAAAUUAGGGAUUAAAGCGUAUGACUAUGUCCCGUUCUUAGUCAACUUCAUCCAAGUUCAAGGGACUGAACAAGCCAAUCACUUCUAUCCGACAGCAGGGGAUGAGAUGCUUGAAGACAUAAUGACAGUAGUAGACUUAAAAUCAAUAGGACUUCUUCCACAUAGCUUUCUCUUUGUUUUCGACAAUUUCCUCUUACUAGGAUUUCUGUCUCCUUGUACACAAAUUGCCUGUUUAUAGGCCUUCUUUCAAAAUUAAUACAACCUUCUUUCAAAA